CACACACACACGCACACACACACACAAGCCUCGUUCAUCCGGCCCCCCGUGCAAGAACAGCCCCUGCUAAUGCAACUCAGCAAAGUGCCCAUGGAGGUCUAGUCCGGAAAGCGACAGGUAGACGCGUGCGAUGGAUUGCUCCAUCAAGGAGGCGCUGUCAGUUGUGAGUGAAGACCAGUCUAUAUUUGACCCAUCCUUCACCACCCCACACCUGCUGAAGACAGAGCUGCCCUCGGUGGAUGACUAUGGUGGCAAGGAAGACAUCGGUCUGGAGGAACCCCAGUGGCCAACGCAGGCCACUACUAACAGGGUCCACGUGGUGAAACAAGAGAAUGAACAAGUCAACUGCUCCAACAGCAGACAAUCCCCUGUGGACUGUAGCGUCACCCAGAGGAAUAAAGCGGGAGGAACAGUUGACCCGUCCCAGGUAUCCUAUUCCAGCGGAUACAACAACCAACGCAGCAGCCCGCCUGCCAAUCCUCCUAGCGAAGAGAAGAGGGUCAUAGUCCCGGCAGAUCCCAGUGUAUGGACCCAUGAACACGUCCGCCAGUGGCUGGACUGGGCGGUGAAAGAGUAUGGCCUCCUUGAUGUCGAAACCAGCCUCUUCCAGCAUAUAGAUGGCAAGGAGUUGUGUAAACUCGGCAAGGAAGGUUUCUUGAGGCUCACCUCGUCCUACAAUGCAGACGUCCUGCUGUCUCACCUCUCUUAUCUGCGCCAGAGCAGCCCUACUUUUACUUAUCCACCUGCACCCGUCAUUACCCAGCAACCUCCGCCACCCCCUCCAAGAGUCCAGGUCAAAUCCGAAUCUUCGUAUGAGGAGAUCCGUCGGAGCAGCUGGGGCGGCAGCCCUAUCAGCGCAACUCCCAAAGGUUCCCUGCCGCAGAACGCAGGAGUGGGGCGGACUCCAGAUUCUACACGUGUUGCACCAGCAGAUCCAUAUCAGGUGCUGGGACCCACUAGCAGCCGCUUGGCAAACCCAGGCAGUGGCCAGAUCCAGCUGUGGCAGUUCCUGCUGGAGCUGCUGUCGGACAGCAGCAACGCCAACUGCAUCACCUGGGAGGGGACGAACGGCGAGUUCAAGAUGACGGAUCCCGACGAAGUAGCGCGGCGGUGGGGCGAGCGCAAGAGUAAGCCCAACAUGAACUACGACAAGCUGAGCCGGGCGCUGCGCUACUACUACGACAAGAGCAUCAUGACCAAAGUCCACGGCAAGCGCUACGCCUACAAGUUCGACUUCCAAGGCAUCAACCAAGCCCAGCAGGGUCAGCCGGGGGAUCCUGCCCUUUACAAGUACCACCACACGGACCUGCCUUAUCUUCCCCCCUAUCACCAGCAGAAGGUGGGCUUCGGCCUGGGCCACACCACGCAGAUGCCCGCUUCCUCGGCCGGCUUCUUUGGGAGCCCCUCUCCUUACUGGAAUUCCAGCAGUGGGAACAUCUACCCCAAUGCCAACAUGCCAAGACAGGCCAGCAGCCAUUUGAGUUCCUUCUAUUAAUCUCUGGGUGUUUUGGAGACCCCCUGAACUUCUGCUACUCACUCAAACAUCCACAAGUCCCCCCAGAAUCCAGUCAGCUUAAAGACACAAGAAGGUGAUAGCCAUCGUGACUGUGGCGAGUCAUGGGGGAAACCCUUUCCUGUCCUUUUCACUCUUCCAUAAAGCCAUCUGUUCUUCUCAUUUAUCCCUGGAUUCAGCUCGAACCUCUCAGCCAACCGGCUCCCCUAUUUUCACGAGAUCUUUAAUUCCUUGCACAAGAUGGGAGGGACGAGCCAUUCCAGGAGAUGCAGAGAUGCUUGGUAUCCUUGUGCUGGUAUCUUUUAGUACAGGGAUUCCCAACCUUGGGCCCUCAAGAUGGUCUUAGACUACAAUUCCCAGAAGCCUUCACCACUCGCUGUGCUGGCCAGGAUUUCUGGGAAUGGUAAUCCAAGAACAUCUGGGGACUCAAGGUUGGGAACCCCGUCUUAGUAUCAGGGAGUUGCUUGUUUAGUUUCUCUUUCUGUGUGGCAAAAGACAAUGUGGCUCUACCUCCAGUCCCUCCACACACCCCUUUCCUUGGUCCAACUCAAUUAGCUCUUGCACAGUGGUUAAACUGCUGUACCGCAGCCAAAACUGUGCUCACGACCUGGGGUUCAAUCCCAGGUAGCCGGCUCGAGGUUCACUCAGCCUUCCAUCCUUCUGAGGUUGGUAAAAUGAGUAGUCAGCUCGCUGUUGGGGCAGUAAUUAACUUGUAAACGGCCCAGAGAAUGCUUGAAGCACCAUUGGGUGGUAUAUAAGCAGCUUGAUUUGCUUUUUGAAGCUUUCUUCAACUUUGGGGAGGUGGAGGUGUCCAGAGUCCACUCCCGUACCUAAAGACAGCAAGUGAGCUUGGAAGGCCCAGUGUGAGUCACGAGGCACCUUCACGGACUCUCUGCUAACGCUUUCCCUCUUGACAAAAAAUGGACGUGACCAGAACCUUAUUUCUGGUGGGGGAGGGGGGAAAGAAACUAAACUUGUCCUCAUCCCCCACCAAAACAAAUUGUGCUUUUUGCUCCAUUCAGCCAACGUACAAUUCAUUUUUUUCCUAAUAGAAAGAAGAAAUGGGGGGGGGGCCUGCCGCAGGCUGCAGAAAAGGUCUGCGUGUGGUGAUAUGCAUUCCUUGACCUUCCUGGAAACAUUACAUUUUGGGCAGUUUCCUCAGGUUUUUUUUAGUUCCAAUCCCCUUAUAUGUUUCAAAUGUGCAUUGAGGGGCCUGCUCCCUCAUUUUUUUACAGCACAUAUAGCAGUCCGUCACUAUUGUGACCAAUCUCUAACAGUUCCUGACCCAGCAGUAAAAAAAA